rnacentral:rRNA from 1 species
GAUGAACGCUGGCGGCGUGCCUAAUACAUGCAAGUCGAGCGAACAGAUGAGGUGCUUGCUCCUCUGACGUUAGCGGCGGACGGGAGAGUAACACGUGGAUAACCUACCUAUACGACUGGGAUAAUUUUGGGAAACCGGAGCUACUACCGGAUAAUAUAUUGAACCGCAUGGUUCACUAGUGAAAGACGGUUUUGCUGUCACUUAUAGAUGGAUCCGCACCGCAUCAGCUAGUUGGUAAGGUAACGGCUUACCAAGGCAACGAUGCGUAGCCGACCUGAGAGGGUGAUCAGCCACACUGGAACUGAGACACGGUCCAGACUCCUACGGGAGGCAGCAGUAGGGAAUCUUCCGCAAAGGGCGAAAGCCUGACGGAGCAACGCCGCGUGAGUGAUGAAGGUCUUCGGAUCGUAAAGCGCUGUUAUUAGGGAAGAACAAAUGUGUAAGUAACUAUGCACGUCUUGACGGUACCGAGUCAGAAAGCCACGGCUAACUACGUG